GAUGAACGCUGGCGGCGUGCCUAAUACAUGCAAGUCGAGCGAACAGACGAGGAGCUUGCUCCUCUGACGUUAGCGGCGGACGGGUGAGUAACACGUGUAUAACCUACCUAUAAGACUGGGAUAACUUCGGGAAACCGGAGCUAAUACCGGAUAAUAUACUGAACCGCAUGGUUCAAUAGUGAAAGACGGUUUUGCUGUCACUUAUAGAUGGAUCCGCGCCGCAUUAGCUAGUUGGUAAGGUAACGGCUUACCAAGGCAACGAUGCGUAGCCGACCUGAGAGGGUGAUCGGCCACACUGGAACUGAGACACGGUCCAGACUCCUACGGGAGGCAGCAGUAGGGAAUCUUCCGCAAUGGGCGGAAGCUUGACGGAGCAACGCCGCGUGAGUGAUGAAGGUCUUCGGAUCGUAAAACUCUGUUAUUAGGGAAGAACAAAUGUGUAAGUAACUAUGCACGUCUUGACGGUACCUAAUCAGAAAGCCACGGCUAACUACGUG
rnacentral:rRNA from 1 species